AUACCUUUUUCGGCCUUUUGGCUAAGAUUAAGUGUAGUGUUUGUUCUUAUCAGUUUAAUAUCUGAUAUGUUGGCCACACGCCUUCUUCAUAUUAACUCUAUUUUUUAAGAGAGAAAGUCUGUCAUGAUAGCUUGCUAUCUAGGCUUCUAUAAGUCACCCAUGUGUUUCAUUGCUGCAAGGAUCUGGCUCAACCCAC
rfam:Brassica rapa chromosome A1, whole genome shotgun sequence.